CGGAGAGGGCGCAUGAGAAACGGCUACCACAUCUAAGGAAGGCAGCAGGCGCGUAAAUUACCCAAUCCUGACACAGGGAGGUAGUGACAAGAAAUACCAAUAUAAGGCUUAUAUGUCUUGUAAUUGGGAUGAGUAUAAUUUAAACCGCGUUACGAGUAUCAAUUGGAGGGCAAGUCUGGUGCCAGCAGCCGCGGUAAUUCCAGCUCCAAUAGCGUAUAUUAAAAUUGUUGCGGUUAAAACGCUCGUAGUUGGAUAUUUGUUGAGAACUGCCGGUCUACCCCAGUGGUCAGCACACGGUUUGUUCUCGGCACUUUCCUGGGGAGAGUGUUUGCACUUCACUGUGUGGCACAUGAUCCAGAACUUUUACUUUGAGGAAAUGAGAGUGUUUCAAGCAGGCGCCUGUCGUGAAUACGUUAGCAUGGAAUAAUAGCAUGGGACCGCGGUCUGAAGCUGUUGGUUUUCGGGCCGUGGUAAUGAAAAUAGGGAUAGUUGGGGGUAUUCGUAUUUAACUGUCAGAGGUGAAAUUCUUGGAUUUUUUAAAGACGGACUACUGCGAAAGCAUCUGCCCAGGAUGUUUUUAUUGAUCAAGAACGAAAGUUAGGGGAUCGAAGACGAUCAGAUACCGUCCUAGUUUUAACCUUAAACCAUGCCGACUAGAGAUUUGGGUCGUCAGAAUCGUGACGCCCUGAGCACCUUAGGGGAAACCAAAGUCUUCGGGUUCCGGGGGGAGUAUGGUCGCAAGGCUGAAACUUAAAGGAAUUGACGGAAGGGCACCACCAGGAGUGGAGCCUGCGGCUUAAUUUGACUCAACACGGGGAAACUUACCAGGUCCGGACAUAGAGAGGAUCUGACAGACUGAUAGCUCUUUCUUGAUUCUAUGGGUGGUGGUGCAUGGCCGUUCUUAGUUGGUGGAGUGAUUUGUCUGAGUUAAUUCCGUUAACGAACGAGACCUUAACCUGAUAAAUAGUUUCCAGAACCAUAUAGUUUCAGGAUGAUUUCUUAGAGGGACUUUGUGUGUGUAACGUGAGGAAGUGUGAGGCAAUAACAGGUCUGUGAUGACCUUAGAUGUUCUGGGCCGCACGCGCGCUACAUUGAUGCGUUCAACGAGCUCCUAACAUACUCCGGAAGGAUUGGGCAACCUUGUGAAAGCGCAUCGUGAUGGGGAUAGAUUAUUGCAAUUAUUAAUCUUGAACGAGGAAUUCCUAGUAAGCGUAAUUCAUCAGAUUGCGCUGAUUACGUCCCUGCCCUUUGUACACACCGCCCGUCGCUCCUACCGAUUGAGUGGUCCGGUGAAUAAUUCGGAUUGCGUCUUAUUUCAGACUUGGGAUUUGACGCGAGAAGUCUAGUAAACCUUAUCACUUAGAGGAAGGAGAAGUCGUAACAAGGUAACC
rnacentral:rRNA from 1 species